rnacentral:rRNA from 1 species
UACGGAGGGUGCAAGCGUUAUCCGGAUUCACUGGGUUUAAAGGGUGCGUAGGAGGGCAGGUAAGUCAGUGGUGAAAUCUCCGAGCUUAACUUGGAAACUGCCGUUGAUACUAUCUGCCUUGAAUAUUGUGGAGGUGAGCGGAAUAUGUCAUGUAGCAGUGAAAUGCUUAGAUAUGACAUAGAACACCAAUUGCGAAGGCAGCUCGCUACGCAUAUAUUGACUCUGAGGCACGAAAGCGUGGGGAUCAAACAGG